AACGAACGCUGGCGGCAGGCUUAACACAUGCAAGUCGAACGCAUCCUUCGGGGUGAGUGGCAGACGGGUGAGUAACGCGUGGGAAUCUACCUCUUGCUACGGGAUAGCUCCGGGAGACUGGAAUUAAUACCGUAUGUGGCCUAUGGGCGAAAGAUUUAUCGGCAAGGGAUGAGCACGCGUUGGAUUAGCUAGUUGGUGGGGUAAAGGCCUACCAAGGCGACGAUCCAUAGCUGGUCUGAGAGGAUGAUCAGCCACAUUGGGACUGAGACACGGCGCAAAUGCAUCCGGGAGGCAGCAGUGGGGAAUAUUGGACACUGGGCGAAAGCCUGAUCCAGCCAUGCCGAGUGAGUGAUGAAGCUCUUCGGAUUGUAAAGCUCCUUCACCGGGGACGAUAAUGACGGUACCCGGAGAAGAAGCCCCGGCUAACCUCGCGCCAGCCGCCGCCGUAA
rnacentral:rRNA from 1 species